rnacentral:rRNA from 1 species
CCUACGGGUGGCAGCAGUGGGGGAUAUUGCACAAUGGGGGGAACCCUGAUGCAGCGACGCCGCGUGAGGGAAGACUGCCCUAUGGGUUGUAAACCUCUUUUGUCAGGGAGCAACGCCGGCUACGUGUAGCCGGACUGAGAGUACCUGAAGAAAAAGCAUCGGCUAACUCCGUGCCAGCAGCCGCGGUAAUACGGAGGAUGCGAGCGUUAUCCGGAUUUAUUGGGUUUAAAGGGUGCGUAGGCGGAUCGUUAAGUCAGUGGUCAAAUUGAGGGGCUCAACCCCUGCCCGCCAUUGAAACUGGCGCUCUUGAGUGGAAGAGAAGUAUGCGGAAUGCGUGGUGUAGCGGUGAAAUGCAUAGAUAUCACGCAGAACCCCGAUUGCGAAGGCAGCAUGCCGGCUUCCGACUGACGCUGAAGCACGAAAGCGUGGGGAUCGAACAGGAUUAGAUACCCCUGUAGUC